CUGCGCCACAAGUGGCAAUCGUUAUUAUUGGGCCUAAAGCGUCCGUAGCCGGUCUAGUAAAUCCUUGGAUAAAUCGUGCAGCUUAACUGUACGACUCCCGGGGAGACUGCUAGACUUGAGACUGGGAGAGGUCGGAGGUACUCCAGGGGUAGGGGUGAAAUCCUGUAAUCCUUGGGGGACCACCAGUGGCGAAGGCGUCCGACUAGAACGGGUCCGACGGUAAGGGACGAAGCCCUGGGGCGCGAACCGGAUUAGAUACCCGAGUAGUCC
rnacentral:rRNA from 1 species